rnacentral:rRNA from 1 species
AGUGAACGCUGGCAGUAGGCCUAACACAUGCAAGUCGAACGGCAGCACAGAGGAGCUUGCUCCUUGGGUGGCGAGUGGCGGACGGGUGAGGGAUACAUCGGAAUCUACUCUGUCGUGGGGGAUAACGUAGGGAAACUUACGCUAAUACCGCAUACGACCUACGGGUGAAAGCAGGGGACCUUCGGGCCUUGCGCGAUUGAAUGAGCCGAUGUCGGAUUAGCUAGUUGGCGGGGUAAAGGCCCACCAAGGCGACGAUCCGUAGCUGGUCUGAGAGGCUGAUCAGCCACACUGGAACUGAGACACGGUCCAGACUCCUACGGGAGGCAGCAGUGGGGAAUAUUGGACAAUGGGCGCAAGCCUGAUCCAGCCAUACCGCGUGGGUGAAGAAGGCCUUCGGGUUGUAAAGCCCUUUUGUUGGGAAAGAAAUCCAGCUGGCUAAUACCCGGUUGGGAUGACGGUACCCAAAGAAUAAGCACCGGCUAACUUCGUGCCAGCAGCCGCCGUAA